rnacentral:rRNA from 1 species
UGGGGAAUCUUCCGCAAUGGACGAAAGUCUGACGGAGCAACGCCGCGUGAGUGAAGAAGGUUUUUCGGAUCGUAAAACUCUGUCUUUUUGGGGCGAACGUGAGUAUGGUGAACAAUCAUAGUCAGUGACGGUACCAAAGGAGGAAGCCACGGCUAACUACGUGCCAGCAGCCGCGGUAAUACGUAGGUGGCAAGCGUUGUCCGGAAUUAUUGGGCGUAAAGAGCGCGUAGGCGGGAUAGUCAGUCUGUUGUAAAAGUGCGGGGCUCAACCCCGUGAUGGCAAUGGAAACAGCUAUUCUUGAGUGCAGGAGAGGAAAGUGGAAUUCCCAGUGUAGCGGUGAAAUGCGUAGAUAUUGGGAGGAACACCAGUGGCGAAGGCGACUUUCUGGACUGUGCCUGACGCUGAGGCGCGAAAGCCAGGGGGAGCGAACGGGAUUAGAUACCCCGGUAGUCCUGGCCGUAAACGAU